CCCUGGGCUGGUCCCUUCCUGGAGCUCUUGCGCUCUAUCAGUAAACGGGAUAGAGUGCAAGAGUUCUAGGAAGGGACCAGCUUAGGGACA